ACCCUUUUAGUAUAACUAGUACAGCUGACUUCCAAUCAGCUAGCUUCGACAAUAUUCGAAAAGGGGUA
rnacentral:tRNA from 1 species